GCGCCGGUACCUCAGAUGGCAGAGCAGUGGGACGGUAUCCCACGGUCCUGGGUUUAAGUCCCGGCCGACGCU